rnacentral:rRNA from 1 species
UACGUAGGUGGCAAGCGUUGUCCGGAUUUACUGGGUGUAAAGGGCGUGUAGGCGGGGAAGCAAGUCAGAUGUGAAAUCCCAGGGCUUAACUCUGGAGCUGCAUCUGAAACUGUUUUUCUUGAGUGCUGGAGAGGAAAGUGGAAUUCCCAGUGUAGCGGUGAAAUGCGUAGAGAUUGGGAGGAACACCAGUGGCGAAGGCGGCUUUCUGGACAGUAACUGACGCUGAGGAGCGAAAGCGUGGGGAGCAAACAGG